GACUCGUCACACUAUCAUUAACUGAAUCCAUAGGUUAAUGAGGCGAACCGGGGGAACUGAAACAUCUAAGUACCCCGAGGAAAAGAAAUCAACCGAGAUUCCCCCAGUAGCGGCGAGCGAACGGGGAGGAGCCCAGAGCCUGAAUCAGCAUAUGUGUUAGUGGAAGCGUCUGGAAAGGCGCGCGAUACAGGGUGACAGCCCCGUACACAAAAGCGCAUGUGCUGUGAGCUCGAUGAGUAGGGCGGGACACGUGGUAUCCUGUCUGAAUAUGGGGGGACCAUCCUCCAAGGCUAAAUACUCCUGACUGACCGAUAGUGAACCAGUACCGUGAGGGAAAGGCGAAAAGAACCCCGGCGAGGGGAGUGAAAAAGAACCUGAAACCGUGUACGUACAAGCAGUGGGAGCACCCUUUGGGGUGUGACUGCGUACCUUUUGUAUAAUGGGUCAGCGACUUAUAUUCUGUAGCAAGGUUAACCGAAUAGGGGAGCCGGAGGGAAACCGAGUCUUAAUUGGGCGUUAAGUUGCAGGGUAUAGACCCGAAACCCGGUGAUCUAGCCAUGGGCAGGUUGAAGGUUGGGUAACACUAACUGGAGGACCGAACCGACUAAUGUUGAAAAAUUAGCGGAUGACCUGUGGCUGGGGGUGAAAGGCCAAUCAAACCGGGAGAUAGCUGGUUCUCCCCGAAAGCUAUUUAGGUAGCGCCUCGUGAAUUCAUCUCCGGGGGUAGAGCACUGUUUCGGCUAGGGGGCCAUCCCGGCUUACCAACCCGAUGCAAACUGCGAAUACCGGAGAAUGUUAUCACGGGAGACACACGGCGGGUGCUAACGUCCGUCGUGAAGAGGGAAACAACCCAGACCGCCAGCUAAGGUCCCAAAGUCAUGGUUAAGUGGGAAACGAUGUGGGAAGGCCCAGACAGCCAGGAUGUUGGCUUAGAAGCAGCCAUCAUUUAAAGAAAGCGUAAUAGCUCACUGGUCGAGUCGGCCUGCGCGGAAGAUGUAACGGGGCUAAACCAUGCACCGAAGCUGCGGCAGCGACGCUGAUGCGUUGUUGGGUAGGGGAGCGUUCUGUAAGCCUGCGAAGGUGGCCUGUGAGGGUUGCUGGAGGUAUCAGAAGUGCGAAUGCUGACAUAAGUAACGAUAAAGCGGGUGAAAAGCCCGCUCGCCGGAAGACCAAGGGUUCCUGUCCAACGUUAAUCGGGGCAGGGUGAGUCGACCCCUAAGGCGAGGCCGAAAGGCGUAGUCGAUGGGAAACGGGUUAAUAUUCCCGUACUUGGUGUUACUGCGAAGGGGGGACGGAGAAGGCUAUGUUGGCCGGGCGACGGUUGUCCCGGUUUAAGCGUGUAGGUGUGUGUUCCAGGUAAAUCCGGUUCACUUUAACACUGAGGCGUGAUGACGAGGCACUACGGUGCUGAAGCAACAAAUGCCCUGCUUCCAGGAAAAGCCUCUAAGCAUCAGGUAACAUCAAAUCGUACCCCAAACCGACACAGGUGGUCAGGUAGAGAAUACCAAGGCGCUUGAGAGAACUCGGGUGAAGGAACUAGGCAAAAUGGUGCCGUAACUUCGGGAGAAGGCACGCUGACACGUAGGUGAAGUGAUUUACUCAUGGAGCUGAAGUCAGUCGAAGAUACCAGCUGGCUGCAACUGUUUAUUAAAAACACAGCACUGUGCAAACACGAAAGUGGACGUAUACGGUGUGACGCCUGCCCGGUGCCGGAAGGUUAAUUGAUGGGGUCAGCGCAAGCGAAGCUCCUGAUCGAAGCCCCGGUAAACGGCGGCCGUAACUAUAACGGUCCUAAGGUAGCGAAAUUCCUUGUCGGGUAAGUUCCGACCUGCACGAAUGGCGUAAUGAUGGCCAGGCUGUCUCCACCCGAGACUCAGUGAAAUUGAACUCGCUGUGAAGAUGCAGUGUACCCGCGGCAAGACGGAAAGACCCCGUGAACCUUUACUAUAGCUUGACACUGAACAUUGAGCCUUGAUGUGUAGGAUAGGUGGGAGGCUUUGAAGUGUGGACGCCAGUCUGCAUGGAGCCGGCCUUGAAAUACCACCCUUUAAUGUUUGAUGUUCUAACGUGGACCCGUGAUCCGGGUUGCGGACAGUGUCUGGUGGGUAGUUUGACUGGGGCGGUCUCCUCCUAAAGAGUAACGGAGGAGCACGAAGGUUGGCUAAUCCUGGUCGGACAUCAGGAGGUUAGUGCAAUGGCAUAAGCCAGCUUGACUGCGAGCGUGACGGCGCGAGCAGGUGCGAAAGCAGGUCAUAGUGAUCCGGUGGUUCUGAAUGGAAGGGCCAUCGCUCAACGGAUAAAAGGUACUCCGGGGAUAACAGGCUGAUACCGCCCAAGAGUUCAUAUCGACGGCGGUGUUUGGCACCUCGAUGUCGGCUCAUCACAUCCUGGGGCUGAAGUAGGUCCCAAGGGUAUGGCUGUUCGCCAUUUAAAGUGGUACGCGAGCUGGGUUUAGAACGUCGUGAGACAGUUCGGUCCCUAUCUGCCGUGGGCGCUGGAGAACUGAGGGGGGCUGCUCCUAGUACGAGAGGACCGGAGUGGACGCAUCACUGGUGUUCGGGUUGUCAUGCCAAUGGCACUGCCCGGUAGCUAAAUGCGGAAGAGAUAAGUGCUGAAAGCAUCUAAGCACGAAACUUGCCCCGA
rnacentral:rRNA from 1 species